CAAAACAUAGCUUAAUGAAAGCAUCUCGCUUACACCGAGAAGAUAUUUGUAAACCCGAGUUGUUUUGA
rnacentral:tRNA from 1 species